AUUUUUCAGAAAAUCAGAGAAAUACAAUUUACUAUUUAGACAUUUUCAAGCUGCAUAAAGAAACAACACAACAAAAUCAACAGAGAACUUGUGAACGUUCACUUCUUAAUGAUGUAAAAUUGGACUAACCCUAUACAGGGUAUUUUAAACAAAAAGUAAUAAUUCAUAUAUCUUCAACUUUCAUGGUGUUAUUUUCAACCUCUCUUUAAUCUGCCAUUUCAUCAUCUUCGUCAUCUAUUUCUUCAAUCCUCAUUUUCUUCACUGCUUGAGCAGCAUCAUUCCUUGGCCCAUUAGGUAGCUGAAUCAGUACAUCAGAUUUUUGACCAGUAGCAGCAUUCACAAGCCCUCCAUUAUUCUCCACCCUAUAUGUUAGAUCUUUUCCGCCACGUCCAGCAUCUAUGUACACGGUCGAAUUCUCAUCAAUCUCCUCCUUCACAAGCAUCUUUGAUAACUCCGUUACAACUUUCUUCUCCAACCACCUCCUAAUAGGCCUUGCACCAUACACCGGAUCAUAACUCUGAGCAAGUAUGACAUCUAAGGCGGCCUCUGUAACACCCAAAGCAAUACCCCUCUCAGCUAAACGGCUUGCCACAUCUUUCAGUUGGUGACGGCAGACUUGCCUCAACUGCUCGUGUGAUAAAGGAUCGAACACCACAAUCUCAUCGAGCCUGUUGAGUAACUCGGGCUUAAAUUGCUUCCUCACCUCCUGCAUGACCAUUUCACGGGCCUUCUCCAUGGUACACUUGCCACUUAAUCCUGACAAGAGAUACUCUGCUCCCAAAUUUGAGGUCAUAAUGAUCACAGUGUUGGUGAAAUCAACAGUACGACCUUGACCAUCAGUUAAUCUUCCAUCAUCCAACACUUGAAGCAAGGCAUUAAACACUGCAGGGUGAGCUUUUUCCACUUCGUCAAAUAGCACAACACUGUAAGGGCGCCUCCUUACAGCUUCCGUAAGUUGCCCUCCUUCCUCAUGUCCAACAUAACCUGGUGGAGCACCAAUCAACCGGGCAACAGAAUGUUGUUCCAUGUAUUCGGACAUGUCAAUUCUGACCAUCAAUUUGUCAUCAUCAAAUAGCUGCUCAGCAAGAGCUUUAGCAAGUUCAGUCUUUCCAACACCAGUUGGCCCCAAGAAAAGGAAUGAACCAGUUGGUUGCUGUGGCCUUCCUAAUCCAGCUCUAGACCUCAACACAGCCUCAGCAACAGCUUUAACAGCUUGAUCUUGCCCGACAACUCUUAGGUGCAAUCUAUCAGCAAGACCAAUCAAUUUCUCCUUCUCAUUCUGGCCAAGCCUAGAGACAGGAAUUCCAGUCCAGCGACUAACUACUUCCGCAAUCUGAUCGGGUCCGACAGUCUCUGUCAACAUUGUACUCUCAUCUGUGCUACUCUCAAGAUUUGCUAUUGCAGAUUCUACUUCUUGGAUGGCACCGUAUCUAAGAUCUGCUGCUCUAGCAAGAUCAUAUCUCCUUUCAGCUUCUUGUAAAGCAUAUGUAAGUUCAUCGCGCUUUUGCUUAAGCCUUCGAAGCUCAUCAACCCGUUCCUUCUCUUUCUUAUACCUCAUCAUCAAAGGUUGGAGUUUGUCCCUCAAGUCAUCGAGCUCUUUCCUCACUUCAACAAGUCGAGCCUUGCUAGCCUUGUCUUUUUCCUUUUCAAGAGCAUGAUGUUCAACUUCUAGCUGAAUCCUCUUCCUUUCAAGAUUAUCAAUUUCUUCUGGCUGGCUAUCAAGUUGCACCCUCACAUUUGCACAAGCCUCAUCAACUAAGUCAAUAGCCUUAUCAGGCAAAUGUCGACCUGUAAUGUAUCGAGCUGAAAGCUGGGCUGCAAUAACGAGAGCCCUAUCCUGAAUCUUGACACCAUGAUGGCCUUCAUACUUCUCCUUCAACCCUCGAAGGAUACUUAUAGUGUCGGGAACGCUAGGCUCAGCGACAUAUACCUGCUGGAAACGCCUUUCGAAUGCAGCAUCUUUCUCCACAUACUUCCUGUACUCUUCCAGGGUUGUUGCACCAAUGCACCUUAAUUGGCCCCGAGCAAGCAUCGGUUUGAACAAAUUGGCAGCAUCCAUUGAUCCUUCAGUCCUACCAGCACCUAAAACCAAGUGGAUCUCAUCAAUGAAGAGAAUUACUUUCCCUUCUGCAUCUUCCACUUCCUUCAGAACAGCCUUCAAUCUCUCUUCAAAUUCACCUCUGUACUUUGCUCCAGCAAUGAGUGCUCCCAUAUCCAAUGCUAUAAGCCUAACAUCAGCCAAAUUGCUUGGAACAUCCCCUCGAACUAUCCUUUGUGCUAGCCCUUCAACUACAGCUGUUUUACCAACACCAGGCUCACCAAUAAGCACCGGAUUGUUCUUUGUCCUCCUCGAAAGAAUCCGAAUUACUCUUCGAAUUUCUUCAUCCCUACCAAUCACAGGAUCAAGUUUUCCUGCCUGUUCCACAAGAUCACGACCAUAGGUCUUAAGUGCUUGAAAUGUAGUAUCCCCUGUAGCACUUUCCACUUUCUUUCCAUCUUUUCCUCUAAGUUUCUCAACUUCUGAUUUCACUCUUGCUGCACUAAGACCAGAAUCUUUCAAAAGAUCUGCAAUUUGGGAAUCUUCCAGAAGGCCUAAAAUCAACAGAUCAACCGCCAAAUGGCUGUCACCACGAGACUUCUGCAACGACUGUGCUCGUCGUAGCACCUUAAUAAGCGAAGUACUUGCUGGAACUUGAUCAGGUGCUGGUGACUGAGAAGGAAUUUUCUUCUUAGCUUGAUUGAACACUCUUUCAACACCAUUGGCAGUCUCUUCACUACCAGCAGCAUUGACAAUUGCUUGCCAGAAUAUACCACUGUGAUCAGAUAAUAAAGCCAAAGCCAUAUGCAGAGGUGUCAACUGAGCAUGCCCUGCUGAUACAGCCAGUUCAUGUGCCUCAGCAAUAGCCUCAUUUGUCUUGUGAGUAAAUUUUUCAGGAUUCAUGAUGAAUUACUGUCUUUCAAUAAACUUUUAACAGAUAACAAGAGAAUUCCUUUUGAUUUGUUCUUGGGAUAGAAUCAAAUGCGUGAUUUCGAGUUUCGAGUGUUUCUUCUUCUGUAGUUUUUUUCGGUUGAGAAGUGAGA
rnacentral:misc_RNA from 1 species